UACGGAGGGAGCUAGCGUUGUUCGGAAUUACUGGGCGUAAAGCGCACGUAGGCGGCUUUGUAAGUUAGAGGUGAAAGCCCGGGGCUCAACUCCGGAACUGCCUUUAAGACUGCAUCGCUUGAAUCCAGGAGAGGAGAGUGGAAUUCCGAGUGUAGAGGUGAAAUUCGUAGAUAUUCGGAAGAACACCAGUGGCGAAGGCGGCUCACUGGACUGGUAUUGACGCUGAGGUGCGAAAGCGUGGGGAGCAAACAGG
rnacentral:rRNA from 1 species